UGGAUCUGCAUAUUGGUAAUUCCAAACAAGUGCGCUUUCCUUGCUAUCUAUGAAAGAACCAUCAGUGGUUUCUGUGUAGAGGCUCAUUACAGGCUCAGCAAUCUGCUUCCAAUAAAAAUCUACUACUGCAACACAAGUUUCCCAUUUGGCAUCGUGAUUUGGCCUCACAAAAUAGCCAUGCUCUGCUGCAAGCCCUAGUGUUUCACACGAAGAAAACCACUGAGUUAAAGUCUUUGUGUCUUUUCCACUAACAAUGAAAACAAUAUUCUUUGGAUCCCUGCACAAGCUGUUUAAGAUACUGAUAACCUCUGCAUUUGGACCCUUGCUGAUAGAGUUUCUGACUGUCAUUGUACCAUCAUAAUCCAAAAGGAUUGCCCGGUGCUUGGUCCUUUUGUAAGCUGAUACAA
rnacentral:misc_RNA from 1 species